UUUAGACAGGACAGCAGCAUUCAUUUUGACUUUACUCUUUGCUAGGGGAACCCAGCCAUGGGCUCGCCAAUGAAGCAAAACUUCUGCCAGGCUCACCAGGUGAAGUCAGUCCUCCCCGAGACAGCUGAGCAGAACGAGACACCCCAGUGGCAUUUAACUGUGACACUGGAAUGGCACAUCCUCCCUCAGUGCCCUGCAGCUCUGACCACCACACUGAAAGAACCAUGGCAGACAGAAGAGAAGCUGAUGUUUUGAAAGAUGGCCUUGGUGUCCAGGAAUAGUGAUUGCAGGAAAACGGGCUGGAACAAUUAGCAACACUGAACCUGGAGAAGGCAUGGAUUAGAAGGACAUGACAGGGUUGUAUCCCCCUACGCACAUCAUGGAGAAGGAAAAUCCAUCUCUGCCCCGGCCCAAACAGCAUGAUUUUCAGCAUUUCUGUGGUGGCUGUCGCCUGGUGCUGAGGACUCAGUUCCAGGAAAUUUGUCUCACGGGGAUUAGACAUACUGCCAUCUGCAAUACAGACGUUUCUAUCAGCAGAUAUGACCAGGAAAACCUACUGUUUAUAAACUUGCACCUCGUUUAGGUUCACCUGAUAUUGACUGCCUUUGUCACUAUCAGAAUUCAGUCAAUAGAACAAGCUUCAAUAAAAUGGGAAAGUGACACAAAUGAAGAGUCCAAUAUAUUCUUGAGGUAAGUUCCCAAUAGCAUCUUCUGCGUGUCAUCAAGUAACACACAAUUAAAACCUGUGUCAAAUGUGCUUGGCUUAUUUUUAUUGACAGCUAAUCAGAAUCACACCAGCAAGUCUUCCAGAAGUAAAUAAGAAAUAAUAGAAAACUAUAUGCCUUAAUUUUUCAUUUUUCGAGUUUAUUUUUUUGAAAUAAUGGGUGCCAAGUGGCACCUAUAGCCAAGACUUGGCACAACACUGUGGUUCUAAGAAAACUUCCACCCAUUUAUAAACCUCUCUAGCCGUACCUCUUUUAGCAGCAUCAAAAACUAUAUCUGACUUUUAUGUGAGCUAUUUGAGUUGUUGCAUAAUUUGGUGAACAGACAUGUGCUGGAGGCUCCACAUAGGCCAAACAUAAGUGUUUCCAAGGUAUGGCAGGUUUGCAUUUGUGAAUAGCAUCCAUCUAACUUCUUUGGAGGCAUUUAAGAUUGUGAUUAAUUUAGUAUUAUUCUAAAUGGAUUAUCCUCAGCUUUAAGCAAAUGAAAUACAUAAGAAGAUUGUCAGGAUGAGAACACAAUAUUUUAGUGAAAUGAAUGGAUUAAAAAGAUAAGACAAAGGUCUGACUACUCAAUCAGCUAUAAUCUUGAUAAUCUUGAUGGCAGGCCUUGAGAAAUAUAGGUUAAUAUGUUUAAUGUUAGCUACUUCAACAGCCCUAAGAUUUAAAUGUAUUGUAAAAAAUUGUAAUUCUAAAUUUGAGAUAAUGGUUGGACUUUUAAAAUGUUUUCAAGGCAACAAAAAAUAAUUAUCUCGUUAUUUUGCUACCUCCACUCAUUCUGAGCCCUACCAUGCUGUCCCCAGUCAAGGUGAAAGGCACUACCCACACAAAGUAAAGAGUUUUUCAUUUGCAAACAAGGACAGCCUGCUCCCCCAUAUGAGGUCACUUCUCUUUGGAAGUGGGAACCUCUCAGGUGCCUGAGCUUAAUCCAACAGGGAUUAUGAAGGCAGCUCACAGCUAAGCAAAAAAUGAAAAUAAAAUUCAACAAGGCUGCAUCUCAAUAGGCCAGCCAGGUGCUGGAUAUGCUGUUGGGUCAUCUGUCACUCCUUAACAGGCAGUAGCCACAGCAGAGGGCAAGGAGCGAGCAGGGACACAAGCCCUCAAACGACCCCAUGUGUAUCAGCAGAGCUCAGGGCUGGUGCGAGGGAAAUCAUCGUUCACGGGAUGGAAGGAAAACAUAUACCACCUGGUCAUGAGCUCUCGUUUAUCCUGGGACUGAGGAUCCUGAGCUGAGGACCACACUGCCUGUUCCCCCACACUGCAAAAUUCCCUGCCCUCCCCCAGCUCAGGAACUCACACAGCAACAAAUUUGAGAUGAGUUGGUCUGUUAGAACAAAGUCACUAUCACUUACUGAGAGGGAGGUCAAGAGGAAAGCAAAGUAAAAUUAUGCACAGUCACAAAAUCACAGAAUGACUGGGGUUGGAAGGGACCUCUGGAGAUCAUCUAGUCCAACCCACCUGCUAAAGCAGGGUCACCUAGAGCAGAUUACACAGGAAUGUGUCCAGGUGGGUUUUG